UACGAAGGGUGCAAACGUUGCUCGGAAUUAUUGGGCGUAAAGCGCACGUAGGCGGCGCUGCAAGUCGGAUGUGAAAUCCCUCGGCUUAACCAAGGAAGUGCAUCCGAAACUGCAGUGCUUGAGUACUUAAGAGGAUCGCGGAAUUCCCGGUGUAGAGGUGAAAUUCGUAGAUAUCAGGAGGAACACCGGUGGCGAAGGCGGAUCUCUGGGCCAUUACUGACGCUGAGGAGCGAAAGCGUGGGGAGCGAACAGG
rnacentral:rRNA from 1 species